UGGUAGGGCGUUCACACGUCAUACAAUGGUCGGUACGAGAGGGUUGGCCAAGCCGCGAGGUGGAGGCCAAUCCCACAAAGCCGAUCGUAGUCCGGAUUGUUCUCUGCAACUCGAGAGCAUGAAGUCGGAAUCGCUAGUAAUCGCAGGUCAGCAUACUGCGGUGAAUACGUUCCCGGGUCUU
rnacentral:rRNA from 1 species